rfam:Pongo abelii chromosome 19.
GAACCUGCGGGAAAGAAGCACCCGUUGAGCCUGACUGCAGCGCGGUGAAGAGACAGGGAAGGCGGAUCAGUAGUCGGUCCCGCGCCCACCCGCUGUUUCCGCGAGGGGCGGAGUUGACUGGCCUUGCAGGCAGAGGGCGAAAUGUGAAAUUCCACUACUCCUACCAUUUUCCCGGAGUGGCGUCAGGCCAAGCUCUCUGCAGCAGGUCAGGUGGGGAGAUUGGGGCGCACACCUGCCUAACGGUAAUGCAGGAUUAGCUAAGGUGAGCUCAGGACAGAAGCCUCCCGUGGGGCAGGAGGGAUAAAUAAAUAAAUAAAUAAAUAAAUAAAUAAAUAACUCCUUGGUCUUUAUUUGCGGCAGGAAUUCAGAAGGUGAAAGCGGGGCCUUAGGAUCUUUCUGACCUUUUGGGUUUUAAGCAGGAGGUGUCAGAAAUGUUACCACAGGGCUAGCUGGCUUGUGGCCAGCAAGCGUUCACAACGCCCUCGAUUUUUCAUCCCUCUAUGUGGAUUCUUUUUUUCAUUGUGAGGCAGAAUUUCUAUGAUUGUUCAGCCACUCAGAGAACCUGAGCUGGUUUAGACCAGGUGAGACAGGCUGGGUUUACCCUGGUGAUGAUGCGUUGUUGCUGUGGCAGCCCUGCAAAUUCAGACACUUGGUGCCUGUGCUUGGCUGAAGGGCCAAUGGGUGAAGCUGCCAUCUGCGGGAUGAUGACUGAAGCCUCUAAGUCAGAAUCCGCCCAGGCUGUGCCUUAGGGCAGCUCCACGGAGCCUCCGCUGGCCUGGGACAGAGAGUCCACCACUGUGCCAGCCCCCAGCCACUGCCUAGGUCCUGUGCUGAGAGCCCCUUGUCCAGGGAAAUGGGGUCCAGUGGAAAAGAGGCCACCCCCUUGCCCUUCACGCAAGGCAGGUUGGUGACAAACCUGAAGCUAAUCCGUUCCUAGAGGAGCUGCUUCUGGGUCCGAGUUUUCUCUGCAGCAGAGCAGCUCCCUGGUUGGGAUCUGUUCAAAGUCCGCCCUUCACACGGAAUU